CCACACUGGUACCUAUGUCACUGGGAGCGGAAGCCACUGAUACACAGACUGCCUACUGCAUGCAGCAGAUGAGCACCAGCUUUUGGUUGCCUUUGCAGAGUGGCUGGAAGAUUCCAUGUCUUACCAUUUGUGGGGCCUUUCAACUGUGCAGAUGGCACAAAGAAGAUGAUGAAUGCAUACCUAAAAUACUGAAAAUGCCAUCCGAAAUGAUUUCACCUGCCUGGCACCUGCUCUUCUAAGCGCUGAUCAAAGAGGAUCUAGUUUGUUACCUGGGGAAGUGGGAUUGAAGAGAAAGAGAAAUCCAGUGUUGUGUUUGAGAAGCAGAAUGCUCAAGAGCAAAUCUCCUUUACUGGGGCACUGCUGACACAGGCUCACCCUGCUGCUUUGCCCUGGCCCUGUCAUCUGCCCAGGAAUGGGCUGUGAUGGGGCAUGGAUUUUCUUGCAUGAACAGCAGAGAACAUAGUGCAUAGCACUCAAUGUCUCCUGCAGGCAUUUAGAGCACAGAAAGCUGGUUCCCCCUUGUGCAUGCAGUGCAGAAAAGGGAAGCAGUGCUGGGAAUCAUUUCUGCAAAUGUGACAUAUAGAGGAAUGCUCCUGUUCAGCAGCAGCUCGUCCAUGAUGAGGACCUCAGAAGAAUAUAGUGCUUGAUGUAUUUUCACUAAGGGUCAGAGACAAGAGAAGCCCAGCUAAUUUCAGUUUUUAGAGAUUGCAUGGGAAGAACCAGUGCCUUCUGCACAUCUGUGGCAAUGUGAAGGAUGGGAAUGAACACAAAGGCAAAUCCUGAGGGACUGUGCUUUCCCUGAAGCUGGCUGUCAGUGAGGUGCCAAAACAGGAAGAGUAAUGAAAGUGUACUCAUCCUAUCUCACACGUCAGGCAGAGGGAUGCGCAGCAGAAGGAGAUGGCGGCAAGUAUUAAAUCCUUCAUGGAAGAUGCUUAGGGAAGCAGUAAGGCUCUGCUGCAAGCAGCUGAGUGCUGUGCCUUAGCAGAGCUCCACUAACACGCCUGCACUCACUGAGGAGGCUGUGA